AUGCUCUCAGUGACCAUGUUCAUGUAUGUCACCAGCCUUAGUCUGAGAAUGUCUGUGAAACCAAGAGAAGAAGACUUCUCUUCCUCAGCCCACAGGGAAAAACAAAACAAAACAAAAAAGGCCUUCUUCAGGAGUCUCCAGAUAUAUAUUGAUGGAUCCUACAGGGAGGUCCACAUAAUGACUCGUCUCUGGCCUGAUGUCCCAGCAUCUGCUACACGUUUCCUUCAACUCCAGGAAGCUGCACAUCAAGAAGGCAUCAUCAUUAUGGUUUCUCUCCACUCGUGUAAAAUGAGGGUAGUAGCAGCUACCUCUUUGGGCUCUAUCUUGUACUGCUUUUUUUCCUCCUACUUCCUGCAAUGA
rnacentral:lncRNA from 12 species